AGGGAGCGAGCCUGUGUUCUGGAAGGCUCUUUUAGGGUGCAGAGUGGAGAGUGGGUGGGAGAGACUGCCUGGGAUAGAGAUCAGGGAGAAAGGGAGGCAAGUUGGCCAGCUGUCCAAGGAGAAGUGGGGGCAAGGGAAGCAGAACAAGGCCUGGAAGACCUACAGCUGUUUCCCUCACCUUUGGAGGACACAGGGGUAUGAGCCCUGGGAGCAAGGAUUGGUAUGUGCUAAUUCAGUGUUCACAGUGACUUUUCAGCAUGUAAUUACUGCAACUCAUGGAACGUGACUGCAUAACCCGCUUGUCUUCCAGGUAUCUUGACUUGAGAUAAAAGUCAGAACAUGGUGGUGGCAUAGAGGACAGGAUGAACAUUCCAAUAUGCAUUUGAACAACACAACAAGAUGCCUUCUGGGAAACCUAUUGGUGCCGUUUGGUGGAUGAAUGGAUCUCCAAUUGGAUCUCAUCAACGAGAAAAGCAAUGGCCCAAAGCCAAGAUUCCCAAAUUGCUUCCUGGACACCUAUAAUCCCCAAAGGCUCCAAGAAAUAUCCUUGGAGUUGCCCAAAUAACCUGUCACUUGACCAUCAGUUUUGUUAAAAAGAUAUACACCCAAAGCAGUGCAAAUGAAAUCAGCAAUCAUUCCAUCACUAUCAUUCCAUCUAUCAUUCCACUCUCAUUCCAUCUAUCCAACAGGCAAGAUUAAAAGCCAUGCUGAUGGCCAUUGCUGGGGGCUGGGGUGAGACAUCUCAGGCAUCUCUUACUUUAGCCUCAUGGAGCAUAAAACCGUAGCAUCUUUCUGGAGGGCAACUCAGUAUUGUUCAUCAAAUGCCUUGGGGUUGUAUAUAUGUGACACAGCCAAUCCACUUGGGGGAAUUUCCUCUUAAGCAAAGACUUGAGGAUAUAGCUCCCAACAAUAACCUGUAGGGUUGGGUGUCUUGGGGUAGCUCGUGCAGGCUGGUGAGCACUGUGCUCCUUCCAUGACAUGCUGGUGGUUUUGUCAUGUUGGUAGCUUGAAAUAGACCCCAGUGGGAUUAUUUACACUGUGGAAAUUGGCAAACACUGCAAAUCAGGGCUUGUUUUCCGAGGGAGCCUCUAACAUUUACCAGUUUAACAACAUAGAGUGGUCCCAAUCAUGUAAAAUUGUUAACAAUGGAAAUUCCCAACAAACUGGAAAUUGGUUCAACAUAUGAAGGUGCAUCCUUCCAUCAUGUGGCAAUUAAAAUGUUAGCCAGGAAGAGUGUGUAUGGGUUGACAGGGAGGAACAUUCCAGAGGGUGGUUAUGAGACAAGGCCAUUUACAGAUUUGCAGAUACAUUUUGAUAUCAAACACACAUCUCUACCCUCACACACAUGUGCAAACACAAUUGGAUAAGCACAGACUCUCUGGAAGUCUCUUAUAAGAAGUAGCAGCAUCAGUUACCUCCAGGAAGAGCAAGAGGCAGACUGGAGGACCAGGACAGGGAUGAAAUCUCUACUUACUUUCCAUUAUAAAUUCUUUUUUACUUUGGAUAUUUUCUUUUUCAUUUUUUAAGUGGUGCCAGAGAGCAAAUCCAGGGACUCACACAUGUUUGGUGAGUUCUCUAUCACUGAGCUAAACCUCCACCCUUUUUCUUUUAAUUUGAGACAAAGUCUUGUUAAAUUACCCAGGCUGGCCUCAAACUUGUGAUCCUCCUGUCUCAGCCUCCUGAGUGGC